AGUGAACGCUGGCGGCGUGCCUAAUACAUGCAAUUCGAACGGAGUGUCGCACGGGUGCGUAAUGUAUAGCUAAUCUGCCCUACCCUAGAGGACCACAGUUUGAAACCACUGCUCAUCCUCUAUAGUGUAGGAUGAGGCUAUAUUGUAUCCGCUAGUUGGUGAGGUAAUGUCUCACCAAGUCUAUGACGCAUAACUGGUCUGAGAGGAUGAUCAGUCACACUGGAACAGAGACACGGUCCAGACUCCGACGGGAGGCAACAGGAGGGAAUAAUGCUCAAUGGGGGAAACCCUGAAGCAGCAACGACGCGUGGAGGAUGACACAUUUCGGAGCGUAAACUCCUUUUGUUAGGGAAGCGGUACCUAACGAAUAAGCACCGGCUAACUCCGUGCCAGCAGCCGCGGUAAUUC
rnacentral:rRNA from 1 species